AAAGGGGGCGAUAAAACAUAAUUUGCUCUCAAAGUAGGCAGUAGACCAAAUAAGUUUGGGAACCCCUGGCGAAGAAAAGUGCGCU